UACGUAGGCAGCAAGCGUUGUUCGGAGUUACUGGGCGUAAAGGGUAUGUAGGCGGUCGUUUAAGUUUGGUGUGAAAUCUCCCGGCUCAACUGGGAGGGUGCGCCGAAUACUGAGCGGCUAGAGUGCGGGAGAGGAGAGUGGAAUUCCUGGUGUAGCGGUGAAAUGCGUAGAUAUCAGGAGGAACACCGGCGGUGUAGACGGCUCUCUGGACCGUAACUGACACUGAGACGCGAAAGCGUGGGUAG
rnacentral:rRNA from 1 species